UACGAAGGGUGCAAGCGUUACUCGGAAUUACUGGGCGUAAAGCGUGCGUAGGUGGUGAGUUAAGUCUGAUGUGAAAUCCCCGGGCUCAACCUGGGAAUGGCAUUGGAUACUGGCUCGCUAGAGUGCGGUAGAGGGUGGUGGAAUUCCCGGUGCAGCAGUGAAAUGCGUAGAGAUCGGGAGGAACAUCUGUGGCGAAGGCGGCCACCUGGACCAACACUGACACUGAGGCACGAAAGCGUGGGGAGCAAACAGG
rnacentral:rRNA from 1 species